AGUCGAACGGUAACAGGGAUUAGCUUGCUAAUUUGCUGACGAGUGGCGCACGGGUGCGUAACGCGUAUACAAUCUACCUUUUGCUAAGGGAUAGCCCAGAGAAAUUUGGAUUAAUACCUUAUAGUAUUAUUUUAUGGCAUCAUUUAAUAAUUAAAGGCUACGGCAAAAGAUGAGUAUGCGUCCCAUUAGCUAGUUGGCGAGGUAACGGCUCACCAAGGCGACGAUGGGUAGGGGUCCUGAGAGGGAGAUCCCCCACACUGGUACUGAGACACGGACCAGACUCCUACGGGAGGCAGCAGUGAGGAAUAUUGGACAAUGGGCGCAAGCCUGAUCCAGCCAUGCCGCGUGCAGGAAGACGGCCCUAUGGGUUGUAAACUGCUUAUAUACAGGAAGAAACACCUCCUCGUGAGGGGGCUUGACGGUACUGUAAGAAUAAGGAUCGGCUAACUCCGUGCCAGCAGCCGCGGUAAUACGGAGGAUCCAAGCGUUAUCCGGAAUCAUUGGGUUUAAAGGGUCCGUAGGUGGACUACUAAGUCAGAGGUGAAAUCCCACAGCUUAACUGUGGCACUGCCUUUGAUACUGGUAGUCUUGAGUCAUUAUUAAGUGGUUAGAAUAUGUAGUGUAGCGGUGAAAUGCUUAGAUAUUACAUAGAAUACCGAUUGCGAAGGCAGAUCACUAAUAAUGUACUGACACUGAUGGACGAAAGCGUGGGUAGCGAACAGGAUUAGAUACCCUGGUAGAAGGGC
rnacentral:rRNA from 1 species